CCAUGGACUGCAGCCUAUCAGGUUUCUCUGUCCAUGGGAUUUUCUAGGCAAGAGUACUGGAGUGGGGUGCCAUUUCCUUCUCCGGAAAACACUCAUUGGCACUUCUGAAUUAGAUAGAUUUUCAUUUGUUUUCUUACCCUGAGACUUUGGGCAGAGAUUUUUUUUUUCUUUUUCUUUUUAAUGUAUGCACUAAGGCAAGGCUUUAGAAAUGUUUCUUCCAGCUCUGGGGAGACAUGGAAAUUAAGGAAACUAAUCACUGCAGCAAACCACCAGAGACUAAAAAUAAAAAGUCGUUUAGUCAGAAUGAGAUUGCUUCUAUAGUUCCUUCUGAGGGCGAUUGAUGGAGGUGACGUCAUGUCUUGUAAACACUGUCCGUGGCUCUAAUGUGCUUGGAAUGACUGCAAAGAGGAUACUGGUCCUCUUUCGGCUCUAACAGGCUGAGGAGCACUCGGCUUCAUCCAGGACUCAGAAGCAGGCUGUGUCAAGGCGUGGUGAAGACGUGAUCGACUGCUGUCCAGCCUCUCUGCCUGACCCUGGAACAUCUGGAACCCUGCAACCUGACCAAGCGCUGCUGCUCACUCAGUCAUCAGAAAUGGUUCAACAGCCCCCACCCCGAUGCUGUCCCUUCGCAUUCUUCUUGCUGUGGAUAUGGUGGGGCUGAAAGAGGAAACAGACAGAACAGGCUCCAUCGUGAAACCAGAACUUCAUCUUGGGCCGGACUGUGGACUUUGAGCUAUAUGCCCAGUAUCUAUGGAAACGACAUAACUGGAAAACUAGACCCCCCGGAUGGAAGAGCCCCAGGGCUCACACCUAGACUCUCUGUUGCCUAAAAGAAUACCCUAAUUAUCUGUGUAACCAAAUAAAAUCAUAAAUUCUAUUAUGCUUAUUGGGGUAUGACCACAGGCCUAUUCAUAAUUGUCCACUGUUAACAGUCAGACACGACUGAGCAACUUCCCUUUCACUUUUCACUUUCAUGCAUUGGAGAAGGAAAUGGCAACCCACUCCAGUGUUCUUGCUUGGAGAAUCCCAGGGACGGCAGAGCCUGGUGGGCUGCCAUCUAUGGGUUCGCACAGACUCGGACACGACUAAAGCGACUUAGCAGCAGCAGCAGCAGCAGCAGCAGCAGCUACCUAGGCUUAAGGCAUACGAGUCAUGGGUUAACUUUGAUUGUAUCUUUCUUUUCCUUUGUUCAGACUAGUUUCAGGGAAUUUGGGGAGGUGGGUUUGUGUAUGUACGCUUAGAGUAUGUAAGGUUUUCGCAAAAACUCGUCGGGAUCCUUGGCUAAGAGGAGACUCUGCCUUGGGCCCGCCGGUGUAAUAAACUGCACUCCACUAUCUGCAUUGUCCUUCUGAGUGAGUUUGUUUCCCGGAAUGCUUGGCUACAACAGUGC
rnacentral:lncRNA from 1 species